UGGGGAAUUUUGGACAAUGGGCGCAAGCCUGAUCCAGCCAUGCCGCGUGCGGGAAGAAGGCCUUCGGGUUGUAAACCGCUUUUGUCAGGGAAGAAAUCUUCUGAGUUAAUACCUCGGGAGGAUGACGGUACCUGAAGAAUAAGCACCGGCUAACUACGUGCCAGCAGCCGCGGUAAUACGUAGGGUGCAAGCGUUAAUCGGAAUUACUGGGCGUAAAGCGUGCGCAGGCGGUUUUGUAAGACAGAGGUGAAAUCCCCGGGCUCAACCUGGGAACUGCCUUUGUGACUGCAAGGCUUGAGUGCGGCAGAGGGGGGAUGGAAUUCCGCGUGUAGCAGUGAAAUGCGUAGAUAUGCGGAGGAACACCGAUGGCGAAGGCAAUCCCCUGGGCCUGCACUGACGCUCAUGCACGAAAGCGUGGGGAGCAAACAGGAUU
rnacentral:rRNA from 1 species